rnacentral:rRNA from 1 species
UACAGAGGGUGCGAGCGUUGUUCGGAAUUACUGGGCGUAAAGGGAGUGUAGGCUGUUUGUUAAGUCUUCUGUGAAAUCUACGGGCUUAGCCUGUAAAGUGCAGAGGAAACUGGCAGUCUUGAGUGUCGGAGAGGAUAGGGGAAUACCCAGUGUAGGGGUGAAAUUCGUAGAGAUUGGGUGGAACACCAGUGGCGAAGGCGCCUGUCUGGCUGACAACUGACGCUGAGACUCGAAAGCAUGGGGAGCAAACAGG